AGAUUGAACGCUGGCGGCAUGCCUAACACAUGCAAGUCGAACGGCAGCAUGAUAAGAGCUUGCUCUUAUUGAUGGCGAGUGGCGGACGGGUGAGUAAUAUGUAGGAAUCUACCUAGAGGUGCGGGAUAACUUGUGGAAACGCAAGCUAAUACCACAUAACGCCCCACGGGGGAAAGCGAGGGGCUCUUAGGACCUUGCGCCUUAUGAUGAGCCUACAUCGGAUUAGCUAGUUGGUGGGUAAAGGCCUACCAAGGCGACGAUCCGUAGCUGGUCUGAGAGGAUGAUCAGCCACACUGGAACUGACGACACGGUCCAGACUCCGUACGGGAGGCAGGCGAGGUGGGGAAUAGUUGGACAAGUGGGCGCAAGCCUAGA
rnacentral:rRNA from 1 species